ACCAAUAGUCCUCCACAUAGUCCAACUGUGCCGGGACGUAGAAUGGGUACAACCGGUCUUUCCCUUAUCAUAACAUAUCAUAACAUACCAAUGUGCCAGGGACGUAGAAUGGGUACAACCUGGACUUUCUCUUACAUCGUGCCAGGGACGUAGAAUGGGUACAACCUGGACUUCCAUACCAUAUCAUGCCAUAACAUCAUCAUGCCAUAUGAGGACUAAAGGAUCAUCCAAUAACCCAUCCACAUCAACAUCAUAAAUGCAAUGCAACAUAUUCGUGAAUACUAAUGCAAACAACCUACUAUAUCUCAUGGCAUUCAUGAUGCAUGGAUCAUGCUCAAAAUUCAUAUUUCAAUUAUUUUAAAACUUAGGGUUUAUUCCACUCACCUCUGGCUAGCUCUGAC
rnacentral:lncRNA from 1 species